rnacentral:miRNA from 1 species
CAUGGGUUGUUUGGUGAGAGG